rnacentral:lncRNA from 1 species
CAUCCUACCGUGCUCUGUGUUCCCCCAUGAGUCAGUGCCUUGUUUCAGGGUCAAGGUGUAUCAGCAAAGAGAAGAGGUCAGCUCACUCUCAAGGGAGACAAGAACAAAAGGGGUCUGCAGUCUUAUGAACCCUGAGGCUGGAGGGAGGAAGCAGAGAGAGGAUUAGGAGUAGAAAAUUACUGAGUACUGAGUUAGAAGGAGAAAAAAUGUCUUCGAGUCUACCUCUCCUCAAUAAAGAGGUCUGAGUAGAGGCAACUUACAAAGGCCUCAGCGAAAGGCCACAAAUAAAGAGGGCUCCACCUGAGGACACUGGGGUCAAGAACACAGCUGUAUAAGUUUAAGAGCUUGGCCCACCAGUUGCAGUUGCCUGAAACUCCCUUCAGAAACUGUAAUUCAUUCUGUCCGCACCAAGUCAGCUGUGACAAAGCCAGCUCUCCCCGAGGCCUGCCAGCCUUUCAAAUAUCGUUCCAUUUUCUGCAGGCCUUAAUUAUUUCUGAUAAGGGGAUUAUAGUUCAAGAUGGUGGCGUAGAAGGAUCCUCAGCUUACCUCUUCUCACGGACACAACGAAUCUACACCUAUACAUGGAGCAGUUCCUUCUGAAAUGGACCUGAAGGAUAACUGAGCAGCCCCUCAUCAACAAAGUGUGGAAGGACUACACUGAGACAGGGAGGACAGGUGGAGCCAGUCUCACCUGAAACCCCACUGCAGGCACAGCAUCCCACAGUCGGAAAGGAUCUCAGAAAAUGGAGCGUAUCACUGAGGAGCAAGUGGUUUGUGCCCCACAUCAGGCACUCCUACCCUUUGGACCUACUUGGACAGACAAGCCCCCAAAAUGUCUGGCUUUGAAAAUCAACAGUCUAUGUCCAAGGAAGCCAUUUAGCUAGGGGAAACAGAAAACUUACUUUUAAAGGGAUUCCACACAGACUUAUUGGCCCCAAACCCCAGAACAAAAGCAAUAGUUUGAAAAGCACCUAGA